UACAGAGGUCCCAAGCGUUGUUCGGAUUCACUGGGCGUAAAGGGUGCGUAGGUGGUGAGGUAAGUCGGAUGUGAAAGCUCGGAGCUCAACUCCGAAAUGGCAUUGGAAACUACCUUGCUCGAGGGUUGGAGGGGGGACUGGAAUACUUGGUGUAGCAGUGAAAUGCGUAGAUAUCAAGUGGAACACCAGUGGCGAAGGCGGCUACCUGGACCAGCAUUGACACUCAAGCACGAAAGCGUGGGGAGCAAACAGG
rnacentral:rRNA from 1 species